UACGUAGGGGGCAAGCGUUGUCCGGAUUUAUUGGGCGUAAAGAGCGUGUAGGCGGCCAGACAGGUCCGUUGUGAAAACUCGAGGCUCAACCUCGAGACGCCGAUGGAAACCGUCUGGCUAGAGUCCGGAAGAGGAGAGUGGAAUUCCUGGUGUAGCGGUGAAAUGCGCAGAUAUCAGGGAGAACACCCGUGGCUAAGGCGGCUCUCUAGUACGGUACUGACGCUGAGACGCGAAAGCGUGGGGAGCGAACAGG
rnacentral:rRNA from 1 species